GGGCCAGGAUUUCCUUAAAUAUGACCGGCCACUCCCUUCUUUGACUAAGAGCUUACUCAGAGGACGUGGGUAGUAGCCCAUGCUGGAGGUCUGCAAUGUGGGUAAAGAAGAUAAAUGUUAGAAGCACUGUCUGCAUAAGAUGUGACACACUGGCAGCACAGGGGAAACAGUCUUAAGAGUAUAGAUCAGAUCAGAUGUUCGAUUGGAGAACCAGUGUCUUCAGCCUUCGCUGCACUUGGAGUUCUUUCUAAUGUGGAUGCCUCUCUUCUUCUUUGGGCACUUGUGUCUUCUAGGACUGGUGCCAACUGUUUUCCGCUGCCCUGCAUGACGCAAGGUAAUGACCUGUGAAAAGAGGCUGCCCGUGUGUUACUUUGCCAUCCUGCUGUUUCACUAUGAUUACAUGUAAAUAAAGUACCUGAAAUAAAU